GGAUCCAGACUUUGAUCCUGGCUCAGGACGAACGCUGGCGGCGUGCUUAACACAUGCUAGUCGAACGAGAGGAGAAGGAAGCUUGCUUCUUUCAAAUCUAGUGGCAAACGGGUGAGUAACACGUAAACAACCUGCCUUCAGGAUGGGGACAACAGACGGAAACGACUGCUAAUACCGAAUACGUUCCUUAGGUCGCAUGACCCAAGGAAGAAAGGGUGGCCUCUACUUGUGAGCUAUCGCCUGAAGAGGGGUUUGCGUCUGAUUAGGUAGUUGGUGAGGUAACGGCCCACCAAGCCGACGAUCAGUAGCCGGUCUGAGAGGAUGAACGGCCACACUGGAACUGAGACACGGUCCAGACUCCUACGGGAGGCAGCAGUGGGGAAUCUUCCGCAAUGGGCGAAAGCCUGACGGAGCAACGCCGCGUGAGUGAUGACGGCCUUCGGGUUGUAAAGCUCUGUGAUCGGGGACGAACGGUCAGCAGACGAACACUCUGCUGAAGUGACGGUACCCGAAUAGCAAGCCACGGCUAACUACGUGCCAGCAGCCGCGGUAAUACGUAGGUGGCAAGCGUUGUCCGGAAUUAUUGGGCGUAAAGCGCGCGCAGGCGGCUUCUUAAGUCCAUCUUAAAAGUGCGGGGCUUAACCCCGUGAUGGGAUGGAAACUGAGAGGCUGGAGUAUCGGAGAGGAAAGUGGAAUUCCUAGUGUAGCGGUGAAAUGCGUAGAGAUUAGGAAGAACACCGGUGGCGAAGGCGACUUUCUGGACGACAACUGACGCUGAGGCGCGAAAGCGUGGGGAGCAAACAGGAUUAGAUACCCUGGUAGUCCACGCCGU
rnacentral:rRNA from 1 species